GGGUCAGAAGGCCAGUCCCAGGGCAAGGUGCUGCCCAGGGAAGCUAUCCAGCACCCGUUCAGGCUCAAAGGACUCAGUGUGGAUGACAUAUAGGGUUGUCCUCCAACCAAAGUGAAGAGGCAGGGAGCUAGCCUGGGGAGACCUGGAUGAAGAGUCCUCCCUUCUGAGCAGACCCCGGUAUGUCUGUGGCAGAGGAGGGGUGUCGGCCAUGGCCACGGAGUGGCCCAGAGGAGCAAAUGGCGGUUGAGACGAAAGUGCCAGGUCCAUCCCUAAACUAUGCACCAGGCAAGGGGCUCCCACAUAUAUCUGAAUACUUAAGAGCAAAACAAGCCCUCACACUGUUGGGUGAGACACAUGCACCCUCCUGCCUGGCCACACAGGCCUUGACAGCCUGGGGUUCAGCCUCCUCCAGCUCUGGGCCUCUGCUCCAGACCCAGCCAUUGGCCCUUGCUCUGCCUCCACCGGCCUCCCCUGGCACCUCAAGGAGCUGCACCUCAUGCCCAGCCCUCUGCCCAGGCCCGGUCCACAACCACACCCAGGGGCAGGUGGCCCAGUGGUGUGGUCUACCCACAGGGGUGGAUCUGAAGAAGAGGCCCUGAAAUGGGCUCGGACCACUUGGACAUGGGAUCCUGGAUCCUGGGUCCUGGGUGUCUGGAGCACAGUCUGGGACAGGGAGCAGGGGCCCAUAGGAAUAGCCCCCUCGACCCCACAGGUUCUCACCUAAGGGUAAGAUAUUAGAGGAGGCCAACAUGGGGCCUCACAAGCAUGAGGGGCAGGCCAAGGGCCUGCUUGCCCAGCCGAGGAGAGGUUCUGAAAACCUGUGAGCAGGGGAGGGGUCUAGCCAGAGAGCCGCCUGCAGGUGUGGGGAGAACCUGCGGACCACACGCUGAGACACACAAGUCAGCGUAGGUGAUAAAGAGGUGCUUAUGGUGACC
rnacentral:lncRNA from 1 species